GCGCCCGUGGCUCAAUUGGAUAGAGUGCUUGGCUACGGACCAGGAGGUUAGGGGUUCGAAUCCCUUCGGGCGUA
rnacentral:tRNA from 1 species